GGCCUGGUGGCUCAGCUGGUUAGAGCGCCGCCCUGUCACGGCGGAGGUCGUGGGUUCGAACCCCAUCCGGGUCGC
rnacentral:tRNA from 4 species